CCUACGGGAGGCAGCAGUGAGGAAUAUUGCGCAAUGGGCGAAAGCCUGACGCAGCAACGCCGCGUGGAUGAUGAAGUUCUUCGGAAUGUAAAAUCCUUUUGCAGGGGACGAACAGGUCGGCUUGCCGGCCCUGACGGUACCCUGCGAAUAAGCCACGGCUAACUCUGUGCCAGCAGCCGCGGUAAU
rnacentral:rRNA from 1 species